rnacentral:lncRNA from 1 species
GAAUUAUUUUUAAAAAAUUAUUUAAAAAAUAAAUAAAAUAAAAAUAAAUAAAAUAAUAAAAUAAAAUAAAAUAUUUAAAAAUCUAUUUUUUUCAUUACAAAAUAAUUAUUUUAAAAUAUUUUUUAAAAUUAGAAGGUUUUUUAACAAAAAAAUAGAUUUUUAAAAUAAUAAUAAAAUAUUAUUUUAAAAAGUAAUAUGGAAAAAAGCUUAAGGACCAG